rnacentral:sRNA from 1 species
GCUGGGCAUGGUAGUGCACACCUGUAAUCCCAGCAGCUGGGGAAGCUGAGGCAGGAGGAUUAUGAGUUCUAAGCCAGCUCAGCAACUUAGCGAGGCCCUCAGCAACACAGUGAGACCCUGUCUCUA